rnacentral:rRNA from 1 species
AUGGCGUCGGCGUCGACCCUGGGGCGGCAGCUGCUCGAGGAGGCGCGGGCGCCGGUAUUCGCGGCGUGGUUGCGUGGUCUGCGGCGGCAGAUCCACCAGCACCCGGAGCUGGCCUUCCAGGAGCACCGCACCUCGGCGCUCGUGCGCGCCGAGCUGGACGCCCUCGCCAUCCCCUACGUCUGGCCCGUCGCACGCACCGGUGUCGUCGCCACCAUCGCCGGCAGCGCCGGCCCCGGCCCCGUAUUCGCGCUCCGAGCAGACAUGGACGCGCUGCCCAUCCAGGAGAUGGUAGAGUCGGAGUUCAAGAGCAAAGAAGACGGCAAGAUGCAUGCGUGCGGGCACGACGCGCACGUCGCCAUGCUUCUCGGAGCAGCCAAGCUGCUUCAAUCCCGCAGGGACAAUCUCAAGGGCACGGUGAAGCUCGUUUUCCAGCCGGCGGAGGAAGGCCACGCCGGCGGUUACCACGUGCUGCAGGAAGGUGUCCUUGACGACGUGGAUGCCAUCUUUGGAAUGCACAUCGACACGUUUUUGCCGGUGGGCACUGUUUGCUCCAGACCCGGUGCGUUCCUCGCCGGAUCAGCUCGCUUCAAAGCGACCAUCGUUGGGAAGGGCGGUCAUGGAGCCAUGCCACACGGCGCCGUCGACCCGGUGGUCGCCGCUUCCUCGGCCGUGCUUAGCCUCCAGCAGAUCAUUGCCCGUGAGGUCGAUCCCCUUCAGGGUGCGGUGGUGUCGGUGACCUUCAUCAAAGGAGGUGAAACAUUCAACGUCAUUCCGGAAUCUGUGACCUUGGGUGGCACCUGCAGGAGUAUGACAACAGAAGGAUUAUCCUACCUCAUGAAGAGGAUCAGAGAGGUGAUCGAGGGCCAGGCGGCGGUGGGCCGAUGCUCGGCAACGGUGGACUUCAUGGAGGAAGAGCUUCGGCCGUACCCGGCGACCGUAAACGAUGAGGGCAUGUACGUGCAUGCCAAGGCAGUGGCAGAGGACAUGCUUGGGGAGGAGAACGUGAGCCUCUGCCCCCAGGUGAUGGCGGCGGAGGAUUUCGGGUUCUACGCUCAGAAGAUCCCGGCCGCUUUCUUCUUUGUCGGUGUCCACCCCGCCGGUGAGGAGAUCAACCAUGUGCACACGCCAUACCUGGUGAUCGAUGAGGAUGUGCUCCCCGUUGGUGCCGCCAUGCAUGCUGCCGUGGCCAUUGAGUUUUUUAACAAGCAUACCGUCUCCUCUCCUUCUCUGUCCUGA